rnacentral:rRNA from 1 species
AGUGAACGCUGGCGGUAGGCCUAACACAUGCAAGUCGAACGGCAGCACAGUAAGAGCUUGCUCUUACGGGUGGCGAGUGGCGGACGGGUGAGGAAUACAUCGGAAUCUACUUUUUCGUGGGGGAUAACGUAGGGAAACUUACGCUAAUACCGCAUACGACCUACGGGUGAAAGCAUGGGAUCUUCGGACCUUGCGCGUUUGAAUGAGCCGAUUUCGGAUUAGCUAGUUGGCUGGGUAAAGUCCCACCACGGCGACGAUCCGUAGCGGGUCUGAGAGGAUGAUCAGCCACACUGGAACUGAGACACGGUCCAGACUCCUGCGGGAGGCAGCAGUGGGGAAUAUUGGACAAUGGGCGCAAGCCUGAUCCAGCAAUACCGCGUGGGUGAAGAAGGCCUUCGGGUUGUAAAGCCCUUUUGUUGGGAAAGAAAAGCAGCAGGUUAAUACCCCGCUGUUCUGACGGUACCCAAAGAAUAAGCACCGGCUAACUUCGUG